UAAUGUAUGGAACGUGCCCAGUCGUGGGGGAUAACUGCUCGAAAGAGCAGCUAAUACCGCAUACGACCUGAGGGUGAAAGCGGGGGAGUCGCAAGACCUCGCGCGAUUGGAGCGGCCGAUAUCAGAUUAGGUAGUUGGUGAGGUAAAGGCUCACCAAGCCGACGAUCUGUAGCUGGUCUGAGAGGACGACCAGCCACACUGGGACUGAGACACGGCCCAG
rnacentral:rRNA from 1 species